UACGUAGGGGGCAAGCGUUGUCCGGAAUGACUGGGCGUAAAGGGCGUGUAGGCGGCGAUAUAAGUCUGGAGUGAAAGUCCUGCUUUCAAGGGAGGAAUUGCUUUGGAUACUGUACCGCUUGAGUGCAGAAGAGGUAAGUGGAAUUCCCAGUGUAGCGGUGAAAUGCGUAGAGAUUGGGAGGAACACCAGUGGCGAAGGCGACUUACUGGGCUGUAACUGACGCUGAGGCGCGAAAGCGUGGGGAGCGAAC
rnacentral:rRNA from 1 species